CCUACGGGGGGCUGCAGUGAGGAAUAUUGGGCAAUGCCCGCAAGGGUGACCCAGCAACGCCGCGUGGAGGAUGACGGCCGUAAGGUUGUAAACUCCUGUUAGAGGCGAAGAAUAGUACUGAUUGGAACGGUAUUUGACUGUACCCUCAGAGAAAGCCCCGGCUAACUACGUGCCAGCAGCCGCGGUAAUACGUAGGGGGCAAGCGUUGUCCGGAUUUAAGGGGUCGAAAGGGGGCGCAGGAGGCAGAGGUGAAAGCCUACAGCUUAACUGUAGAACUGCCUUUGAUACUGUUAGUCUUGAGUUCGGGAGAGAGAGACGGAAUUCCAGGUGUAGUGGUGAAAUACGUAGAUAUCUGGAAGAACACCAGUUGCGAAGGCGGUCUCUUGGUCCGAUACUGACGCUGAGGCGCGAAAGCGUGGGGAGCAAACAGGAUUAGAUACCCGAGUAGUC
rnacentral:rRNA from 1 species